GCGAGGAGCUUCCUGGCUAUGGCGGCUGCUGUCGUCUUCGUCCCCGGUGGCGCUCCAUCUGGUGAUGAUCGGCGCGCCAAGGCGGAACCGUGUAAGUGAUCGAUCUUGUCGCGCUCUUCUUUCUCCCGGAGGGAGGGGAGAGGUUUCUAGGUUGCGCCGGCGCGACGAGGCUUUGAUCUCGCCGACAUACCCGGGGCUGGGAGCAAGAAAUCCGCGCCUCCCAGCCGGAAGAUGCCAGGAAUGAUCAAGGCGGAGAGCGCAUCACCGUCGGAGGCCUCGAUUUCUCACUCUCUGCUGUCACUGCAAUCCUCCUCUCCGCCCGCCGCCACCGCCACCGCCACUGCCACCGCCACCGCGCCGCCACCGCCGCCAUCGUCGGAGGAGCGCGGCCUCCGCCUCAUCCACCUCCUCUACCUCUGCGCCAAUGCGGUGGCCAGCAACGAUCUCCAGCACGCCAAUCUCUUCAUGGAGCAGCUAUCGGGCCUGGCGUCGCUCACCGGCGAUCCAAUGCAGCGCGUGGCAACCUAUUUCCUCGAGGGGCUGGCUGCGCGGGUCACCAAGUCCUGGCCCGGCCUCUACAAGGCGCUCUACUCCACCCGGCUCUCCUCGGACUCGGACAUAGCGGCGGCCCGGCACAUCCUCUUCUCGGUCUCGCCGUACCUCAAGUUCGGCUACCUCACGGCAAACCAGGCCAUCCUGGACGCGAUGCAAGGCGAGAAGGUGGUACACGUCGUGGACUUGGAGGUGGGCGGUGGCAAUAGUGUUCUCCAGUGGCUGGCGCUCUUACAGGCAUUUAGUAGCCGUCCGGAGGGUCCUCCACACUUGCGGAUCACUGCGGUGAACGAGAAGCGCGAGGUGCUGGCGCUCAUGGGCCAGAAGCUCGCCGAGAGCGCGGAGCGGCUGGACAUCCCUUUCCAGUUCCACCCGGUGGCGGUGACCCCGGCGGCGCUCGAGCGCGACAUGCUGGGCGUCAAGAGCGGCGAGGCAGUGGCUGUGACGUCGCUCAUGCAGCUCCAUUCGCUCCUGGCCGACGAGAAGGAGGAUGGCAAAGUCCGGGGUGGUGAUGGUGGCGGUACUGCAAGUUUUGGCCUGGCGCUCAGGGAGAGGAGCAAGAGCGAGCCGGGGUUUGUGAGCUGUAAGAUGGAGGAGCUCAAGGAGAGCAAGAGCGGGUGCAAGCGGAGCCGGGAUGCGCUGGGAACAGGUUUCAAUGGCAUCGAGAUGAAUGGUCACGACGACUCGGGGCUAGAGCUGGGAAUCGGGGUGUUUCCAGUGGCUCCCAAGGAAGCAAAGGCGGGAACGAGCAGCACAAUCAGCCGUGUGUUGCAGCUCCUCCACAGCUUGAGUCCCAAGAUCAUGGUGGUGGUUGAACAGGAGUCGAAUCACAAUGGUGCUCUACACGAGAGGUUUGCUCCGGCGCUGCAUUACUACUCGGCAAUCUUCGAUUCCCUGGACUCGACGCUCCCGCAGCACAGCAGCGAGAGGAUCACCGUGGAGAGGCUCAUCUUCGGGCAGGAGAUCAGGAACAUCGUGGCUUGCGAGGGCCUGGAACGGAUGGAAAGGCACGAAACACUAUCGAGCUGGAAGAGGCGAUUCGAGCAAGCACACUUCUCGUCGUCUCACCUGAGCCCGACAACCGCCGUGCAAGCGGAGCGACUGCUGACAAUACAUUCGCCUGACGGAUACAAGCUACACCGCGAAAAAGCUAGCUGGCUGUUGUGCAAGACAGGAAAAAAACGAAAAAACAAAGAACGCAUACUGAGUGCAAUGAUGGAUCUCAUCAGGGUGGGAGUGAGCUUGUUUUGUUCCGUAAACAAAUCUCACUCCCCUUGCUUAUGUAUGUACAGACAGGUCUAGUUGUAUUGUAAUCCAAAGCAACCUUUUGUUUUUGUUCCAGAGUAUCGUUAUCUCGUGUUCUUUUGGAGUGGUAGUGCUGAGCGCAAGAUCUUUUUGUUCGCGCGAUUGAUUCCCUGACGAAGAUAAGCCAAAGCUAGGCGACAAGGAGCAGUGUCAUCUAGCACUAAGACGUGUGCCGCAGAGAGACAAAUGCGCUAUAUACCCGAGUCCACUUCCCAACGAGGACCUCAUCUCCCUCCAUCCUUCCUCUUUUGUUGAAGGGGAGUUGUCUGAAGCGAUUACCCUGACUUGAUGGAUUUGGAUGGACAACGGAGGAGAGUGAUGCGUGAUGUGCGUCCCGAGGGAAACCAAUCACGCUUGAAGUGAAAGCAAUAAGAAAGUGUCUUGGCGUCGGCAAAGCUGCAGGAAGAUUUGUCAAACGAGCGCAGAGAGGUUAUUGGACGAUGACUUAUCAACAGAAGUGAACACAAGCAGACACGUAUUAUUUGCAUCGCUUUUGCAGAAGUUUGGCCCUUUGGGCACUAACUGCACGUCAGUUAGGACCCCUGGCAGGAUCGGGCAGCAGCAACAGGCAGCCGAUGGAUGCAUGCAGCCAGAAGCCAGCAGGCAGCGCAGCGGUAGCAGCCUUGUGGCCUCAUGAUAUAUGUUGCCACUUCAAUUAUCAAACUGAAAGCAGCAACCGACCAAGCUCGUAGCAGAAAGCAGCAGAGAGGUUGCAGGAUCCGUCCGAAAGCAGUGAAACUGAUGGGUGGAUAAUGCGGGAAGAACGAGACGACUUUUUUGACGAAGGCGGAUUCUGCUUUGCCAUUUUGGUUCACAUGCAUUCAAGUGCUGCUUGAAUUCGAGGCCCUCUCCUGGCUGGCGACUUUAUUGCACUUCGUCGGCUCCGGGAGAGUUCCUUGUAAAUUUAAGAACAACACCGACACAUACCCAGGGGUUAUUUUACAUGCCAGCAGCAGCAACUUUGCUCGAGAAGCGCGGCAGUCACUUUACUUUUAAAGUUACUCAAAGAAACUUUCCAUAA